rnacentral:rRNA from 1 species
GACGAACGCUGGCGGCGUGCUUAACACAUGCAAGUCGAACGGAAAGGCCCUGCUUUUGUGGGGUGCUCGAGUGGCGAACGGGUGAGUAACACGUGAGUAACCUGCCCUUGACUUUGGGAUAACUUCAGGAAACUGGGGCUAAUACCGGAUAGGAGCUCCUGCUGCAUGGUGGGGGUUGGAAAGUUUCGGCGGUUGGGGAUGGACUCGCGGCUUAUCAGCUUGUUGGUGGGGUAGUGGCUUACCAAGGCUUUGACGGGUAGCCGGCCUGAGAGGGUGACCGGCCACAUGGGGCCUGAGGUACGGCCCAGACUCCUACGGGAGGCAGCAGUGGGGAAUAUUGCACAAUGGGCGGAAGCCUGAUGCAGCAACGCCGCGUGCGGGAUGACGGCCUUCGGGUUGUAAACCGCUUUCGCCUGUGACGAAGCGUGAGUGACGGUAAUGGGUAAAGAAGCACCGGCUAACUACGUG